rnacentral:rRNA from 1 species
CAGUCGCCACGGGAAUACGAAGGGGGCUAGCGUUGUUCGGAAUUACUGGGCGUAAAGCGCACGUAGGCGGACAUUUAAGUCAGGGGUGAAAUCCCGGGGCUCAACCCCGGAACUGCCUUUGAUACUGGGUGUCUAGAGUAUGGAAGAGGUGAGUGGAAUUCCGAGUGUAGAGGUGAAAUUCGUAGAUAUUCGGAGGAACACCAGUGGCGAAGGCGGCUCACUGGUCCAUUACUGACGCUGAGGUGCGAAAGCGUGGGGAGCAAACAGGAUUAGAUACCCGUGUAGUCCCUGUCUCUUAUAC